CCCUUCGGGGGCGAGUACAGCGGCGGACGGGUGAGUAACACGUGAGCGAUCCACCUCGAGGCGGGGGACAACCCAGGGAAACCUGGGCUAAUACCGCAUACAGCGGCAGGCAUGGAAGCCUGUCGUGAAAGCUGGCCUCUCCAUGGAAGCUAGCGCCUCUGGACGAGCUCGCGGCCUAUCAGCUGGUUGGUGAGGUAACGGCUCACCAAGGCGAUGACGGGUAGCUGGCGUGAGAGCGCGAUCAGCCACACUGGGACUGAGACACGGCCCAGACUCCUACGGGAGGCAGCAGUGGGGAAUCUUGCGCAAUGGGCGAAAGCCUGACGCAGCGACGCCGCGUGGGGGAGGAAGGCCCUAGGGUUGUAAACCCCUGUCAGGUGGGACGAACCGGGGAUCGGCGAAAGCCGGUUCCUCUGACGGUACCACCAGAGGAAGCUCCGGCUAACUCCGUGCCAGCAGCCGCGGUAAAACGGAGGGAGCAAGCGUUGUUCGGAAUUACUGGGCGUAAAGGGCGCGUAGGCGGCCCUGUAAGUCGCAUGUGAAAGGCCGGGGCUCAACCCCGAGUAUUGCAUGCGAUACUGCAAGGCUAGAGACAGGUAGGGGCGAGCGGAAUUCCCGGUGUAGCGGUGGAAUGCGUAGAUAUCGGGAAGAACACCGGUGGCGAAGGCGGCUCGCUGGGCCUGUUCUGACGCUGAAGCGCGAAAGC
rnacentral:rRNA from 1 species